GGGUUGUGAGGUUAAGCGACUAAGCGUACACGGUGGAUGCCCUGGCAGUCAGAGGCGAUGAAGGGCGUGCUAAUCUGCGAUAAGCGCCGGUAAGGUGAUAUGAACCGUUAUAACCGGCGAUACCCGAAUGGGGAAACCCAGUGUGACUCGUCACACUAUCAUUAACUGAAUCCAUAGGUUAAUGAGGCGAACCGGGGGAACUGAAACAUCUAAGUACCCCGAGGAAAAGAAAUCAACCGAGAUUCCCCCAGUAGCGGCGAGCGAACGGGGAGGAGCCCAGAGCCUGAAUCAGCAUGUGUGUUAGUGGAAGCGUCUGGAAAGGCGCGCGAUACAGGGUGACAGCCCCGUACACAAAAGCGCAUGUGCUGUGAGCUCGAUGAGUAGGGCGGGACACGUGGUAUCCUGUCUGAAUAUGGGGGGACCAUCCUCCAAGGCUAAAUACUCCUGACUGACCGAUAGUGAACCAGUACCGUGAGGGAAAGGCGAAAAGAACCCCGGCGAGGGGAGUGAAAAAGAACCUGAAACCGUGUACGUACAAGCAGUGGGAGCCCCACCACCAAAGCAUUCUCUGGUGUUGAAGGCCCUGCAAAGCAGCAUCGCGGUGGCGGAGCGUCGUUUGCGACGCCCAACACACAAAACAAGCGGUGAGUGCUUUGGGGUGGGGUGACUGCGUACCUUUUGUAUAAUGGGUCAGCGACUUAUAUUCUGUAGCAAGGUUAACCGAAUAGGGGAGCCGGAGGGAAACCGAGUCUUAAUUGGGCGUUAAGUUGCAGGGUAUAGACCCGAAACCCGGUGAUCUAGCCAUGGGCAGGUUGAAGGUUGGGUAACACUAACUGGAGGACCGAACCGACUAAUGUUGAAAAAUUAGCGGAUGACCUGUGGCUGGGGGUGAAAGGCCAAUCAAACCGGGAGAUAGCUGGUUCUCCCCGAAAGCUAUUUAGGUAGCGCCUCGUGAAUUCAUCUCCGGGGGUAGAGCACUGUUUCGGCUAGGGGGCCAUCCCGGCUUACCAACCCGAUGCAAACUGCGAAUACCGGAGAAUGUUAUCACGGGAGACACACGGCGGGUGCUAACGUCCGUCGUGAAGAGGGAAACAACCCAGACCGCCAGCUAAGGUCCCAAAGUCAUGGUUAAGUGGGAAACGAUGUGGGAAGGCCCAGACAGCCAGGAUGUUGGCUUAGAAGCAGCCAUCAUUUAAAGAAAGCGUAAUAGCUCACUGGUCGAGUCGGCCUGCGCGGAAGAUGUAACGGGGCUAAACCAUGCACCGAAGCUGCGGCAGCGACACUGUGUGUUGUUGGGUAGGGGAGCGUUCUGUAAGCCUGUGAAGGUGUGUCGUGAGGCAUGCUGGAGGUAUCAGAAGUGCGAAUGCUGACAUAAGUAACGAUAAAGCGGGUGAAAAGCCCGCUCGCCGGAAGACCAAGGGUUCCUGUCCAACGUUAAUCGGGGCAGGGUGAGUCGACCCCUAAGGCGAGGCCGAAAGGCGUAGUCGAUGGGAAACGGGUUAAUAUUCCCGUACUUGGUGUUACUGCAAAGGGGGGACGGAGAAGGCUAUGUUGGCCGGGCGACGGUUGUCCCGGUUUAAGCGUGUAGGUGUGUGUUCCAGGUAAAUCCGGUUCACUUUAACACUGAGGCGUGACGACGAGGCACUACGGUGCUGAAGCAACAAAUGCCCUGCUUCCAGGAAAAGCCUCUAAGCAUCAGGUAACACGAAAUCGUACCCCAAACCGACACAGGUGGUCAGGUAGAGAAUACCAAGGCGCUUGAGAGAACUCGGGUGAAGGAACUAGGCAAAAUGGUGCCGUAACUUCGGGAGAAGGCACGCUGACACGUAGGUGAAGUGAUUUACUCAUGGAGCUGAAGUCAGUCGAAGAUACCAGCUGGCUGCAACUGUUUAUUAAAAACACAGCACUGUGCAAACACGAAAGUGGACGUAUACGGUGUGACGCCUGCCCGGUGCCGGAAGGUUAAUUGAUGGGGUCAGCGCAAGCGAAGCUCCUGAUCGAAGCCCCGGUAAACGGCGGCCGUAACUAUAACGGUCCUAAGGUAGCGAAAUUCCUUGUCGGGUAAGUUCCGACCUGCACGAAUGGCGUAAUGAUGGCCAGGCUGUCUCCACCCGAGACUCAGUGAAAUUGAACUCGCUGUGAAGAUGCAGUGUACCCGCGGCAAGACGGAAAGACCCCGUGAACCUUUACUAUAGCUUGACACUGAACAUUGAGCCUUGAUGUGUAGGAUAGGUGGGAGGCUUUGAAGUGUGGACGCCAGUCUGCAUGGAGCCGACCUUGAAAUACCACCCUUUAAUGUUUGAUGUUCUAACGUGGACCCGUGAUCCGGGUUGCGGACAGUGUCUGGUGGGUAGUUUGACUGGGGCGGUCUCCUCCUAAAGAGUAACGGAGGAGCACGAAGGUUGGCUAAUCCUGGUCGGACAUCAGGAGGUUAGUGCAAUGGCAUAAGCCAGCUUGACUGCGAGCGUGACGGCGCGAGCAGGUGCGAAAGCAGGUCAUAGUGAUCCGGUGGUUCUGAAUGGAAGGGCCAUCGCUCAACGGAUAAAAGGUACUCCGGGGAUAACAGGCUGAUACCGCCCAAGAGUUCAUAUCGACGGCGGUGUUUGGCACCUCGAUGUCGGCUCAUCACAUCCUGGGGCUGAAGUAGGUCCCAAGGGUAUGGCUGUUCGCCAUUUAAAGUGGUACGCGAGCUGGGUUUAGAACGUCGUGAGACAGUUCGGUCCCUAUCUGCCGUGGGCGCUGGAGAACUGAGGGGGGCUGCUCCUAGUACGAGAGGACCGGAGUGGACGCAUCACUGGUGUUCGGGUUGUCAUGCCAAUGGCACUGCCCGGUAGCUAAAUGCGGAAGAGAUAAGUGCUGAAAGCAUCUAAGCACGAAACUUGCCCCGAGAUGAGUUCUCCCUGAGACUUAGAGUCUCCUGAAGGAACGUUGAAGACGACGACGUUGAUAGGCCGGGUGUGUAAGCGCAGCGAUGCGUUGAGCUAACCGGUACUAAUGAACCGUGAGGCUUAACCUUACAACGCCGAAG
rnacentral:rRNA from 1 species